rnacentral:rRNA from 1 species
AGAAUUUGAUCUUGGUUCAGAUUGAAUGCUGACGGCGUGGAUGAGGCAUGCAAGUCGUACGAAAUAAUAGGGCAACUUGUUAUUUAGUGGCGAAAGGGUUAGUAAUACAUGAAUAACCUGUCUGUGACAUAGGAAUAACUUUUGGAAACGAGUGCUAAUACCUAAUAUGGUCCUUUUAAGAGAACUAAAAGGGAUUAAAGCGGGGGAUUUAAGAAAUUGAACCUUGCGGUUAUGGAGGGGUUCGUGGGAUAUCAGCUUGUUGGUGUGGUAAUGGCGCACCAAGGCUAAGACGUCUAGGCGGGUUGAAAGACUGACCGCCAACAUUGGGACUGAGACACUGCCCAGACUCCUACGGGAGGCAGCAGCCGAGAAUAUUUCGCAAUGGGCGAAAGCCUGACGAAGCGACGCCGUGUGAGCGAGGAAGGCCCUUGGGUCGUAAAGCUCUUUCGCUUGUGAACAAAAGAGAGGAGUGAAUAACUUUUUAAUUUGAGGGUAGCAGGUAAAGAAGCACCGGCUAACUCCGUGCCAGCAGCUGCGGUAAUACGGAGGGUGCAAGCAUUAAUCGGGAUUAUUAGGCGUAAAGGGUGCGUAGGCGGCUAUGUAAGUCAAAUGUGAAAUCCUGGGGCUUAACCCCAGGGCUGCAUUUGAAACUGCAUGACUAGAGGAUGGACGGAGGAAGCGGAAUUCUACAUGUAGCGGUGAAAUGCGUGGAUAUGUAGAAGAACACCGGUGGCGAAAGCGGCUUUCUAGUUUAAUCCUGACGCUGAGGCACGAUAGCAGGGGGAGCAAACAGGAUUAGAUACCCUGGUAGUCCCUGCCGUAAACGAUGUAUACUUGAUGUAUGAGGACUCAACCCCUUGUGCAUCGUAGCUAACGUGAUAAGUAUACCGCCUGAGAAGUACGUUCGCAAGGAUGAAACUCAAAAGAAUUGACGGGGGCCCGCACAAGUAGUGGAGCAUGUGGUUUAAUUCGACGAUCCGCGAAGAACCUUACCCAGGUUUGAAAUACAGGGGAUGUUGUCAGAGAUGACAAUUCUCGUAAGAGUCGCUGUAUAGGUGCUGCAUGGCUGUCGGCAGCUCGUGCCGUGAGGUGUUGGGUUAAGUCUCGCAACGAGCGCAACCCUCGUUGCUAGUUGCCAGCAUGUAAAGAUGGGAACUCUAGCAAGACUGCCUGAGUUAAUCAGGAGGAAGGUGAGGAUGACGUCAAGUCCGCAUGGCCUUUAUGUCUGGGGCUACACAUGUGCUACAAUGGUCAGUACAGAAGGAAGCAAUACUGUGAAGUGGAGCAAAUCCCAAAAGCUGAUCCCAGUUCGGAUUGCAGUCUGCAACUCGACUGCAUGAAGUUGGAAUUACUAGUAAUGGCGAGUCAGCAACAUCGCCGUGAAUGCGUUCCCGGGCCUUGUACACACCGCCCGUCACAUCAUGGAAGUUGGUUUUACCCGAAGUCGCUGACUUAACUGUAAAGAGAGAGGUGCCUAAGGUGAGGCUGAUGACUGGGAUGAAGUCGUAACAAGGUAGCCCUAUUGGAAAGUGGGGCUG